GGUAAUCAAGGAAUCAAGUGGAAAAAAGGCCAAGUCACAGUUAAUUUUACCAUGGGUCUAUCUAGGUUGAUAAUUGAAAGCGUUACAGAUGACAGCAGCUCUACAUCUCUUGACAAUCUUGCUUUUGCUCCAGGAAGCUGUGACACAAUACCAAAGAUUGUUCCAUUGGUUCAUUAUUUUCGUUUCAAAGUAAGAAAUGUGAAAAAUGUCCCACCUCUAC